rnacentral:rRNA from 1 species
GACGAAGGAUGCAAGCGUUAUCCGGAUUCAUUGGGUUUAAAGGGAGCGUAGGCGGCCCUAUAAGUCAGUGGUGAAAGCCUUGAGCUUAACUCGGGAACUGCCAUUGAUACUAUCAGUCUUGAAUAUUGUUGAGGUUUGCGGAAUGGGUCAUGUAGCGGUGAAAUGCAUAGAUAUGACCCGGAACACCUAUUGCGAAGGCAGCAGGCUAAACAAAGAUUGACGCUGAGGCUCGAAAGCGUGGGGAUCAAACAGG